CCUUAGGUUGCCAAAUGGGUGAGAGAAGAGCUGUGCCCUGAAGGGACACAGCAUUAUUUUGAUGUCUGGCACAUUGGGAAAAGUCUGGGGAAGGCCUUGGAUACAGCCUCAAAAGACAGACAGUGUGAACAACUACAGUUGUGGAGGCCAGCCAUAGUGAACCACCUGUACUGGACUGCAGCCUCAACCCCUGAUGGCAAUCCAGCUGUGAUGGAGGCCAAAUGGAGAAGCUUGGUGAAUCACAUUCAGGACAUCCACGACCAUGACACCCCUGCCUUCUCCAGUUGCGCUCAUGCCCCUCUGGAGGGGGAUCAACGAGAUAAAGAGUGGCUGGAACCAGGCUCAAUGGCAGCAGUAAAACUGGAGGGUAUCAUCAC